AUUGAACGCUGGCGGCAGGCCUAACACAUGCAAGUCGAGCGGAUGAAGGGAGCUUGCUCCUGGAUUCAGCGGCGGACGGGUGAGUAAUGCCUAGGAAUCUGCCUGGUAGUGGGGGAUAACGUCCGGAAACGGGCGCUAAUACCGCAUACGUCCUGAGGGAGAAAGUGGGGGAUCUUCGGACCUCACGCUAUCAGAUGUGCCUAGGUCGGAUUAGCUAGUUGGUGGGGUAAAGGCCUACCAAGGCGACGAUCCGUAACUGGUCUGAGAGGAUGAUCAGUCACACUGGAACUGAGACACGGUCCAGACUCCUACGGGAGGCAGCAGUGGGGAAUAUUGGACAAUGGGCGAAAGCCUGAUCCAGCCAUGCCGCGUGUGUGAAGAAGGUCUUCGGAUUGUAAAGCACUUUAAGUUGGGAGGAAGGGCAGUAAGUUAAUACCUUGCUGUUUUGACGUUACCAACAGAAUAAGCACCGGCUAACUACGUG
rnacentral:rRNA from 1 species